rnacentral:rRNA from 1 species
AACGAACGCUUGCGGCAUGCUUAAAACAUGCAAGUCGAACGAGAAAGUGGCUUCGGCCAUGAGUAUAGUGGCGCACGGGUGAGUAACACGUAGCUAACGUUCCUCUUCGCUGGGGAUAACCUCGGGAAACCGAGGCUAAUACCGAAUGAUCUGACACGGCCUUUGGACUGUGUCGGUAAAGCCUUCGGGCGCGAGGAGAUCGGGUUGCGUCCUAUUAGCUAGUUGGUAGGGUAAUGGCCUACCAAGGCUACGAUGGGUAGCUGGUCUGAGAGGAUGAUCAGCCACACUGGAACUGAAACACGGUCCAGACUCCCACGGGAGGCAGCAGUUGGGAAUAUUGGACAAUGGGGGAAACCCUGAUCCAGCAAUGCCGCGUGAAUGAUGAAGUAUUUCGGUAUGUAAACUUCGAAAGUAUGGGAAGAAUAAAUGACGGUACCAUACAUAAGCUCCGGCUAACUACGUG